CGAAAUGCGAUAAGUAAUGUGAAUUNCAGAAUUCAGUGAAUCAUCGAAUCUUUGAACGCACCUUGCG
rnacentral:rRNA from 2 species